UCCAAUCUCCACACGGCUUGUCUUCCUCUUUUAACUUUCUCUUCCUUGCUGACACAGAAAUAUCCUUUUAUCUUUCCAUGUCAACCUUACAGUAAUCUACACCUCAUUUCUGCCUCCUAAAAUAUCAAUAGUAAAACAUACGCAAAAGAAUUAUAUCUUCAUUUUCGACAAUCAAGAAGAUUGUAUCAUUUUUUUCUGAACCUUAAUUUUUUCUAAAAAAGAAAAGAAGAAGAAGAAGAAGAAGAAGAAGAAGAAGAAGAAGAAGAAGAAGAAGAAGAAGAAGAAGAAGAAGAAGAAAAUGUUUCUGUCACUGACCACACCUUUGCAGCCAACAAAAAAACAAAGAAAAGAGAGAUAACAUAUACUUCUUUAAGUCACCAAAAUAUUUAGACUUAAGUUGAUAAUUAUAAUAUAUUUAUUUAUAAGAUUUCUGCGUGACUGAACAAAAGAUGUUACACCGAUAUAUCAGAAAUGGCGUGCGUAGGCGACAAGGAGUGGUACUUCUUCAAUCUUCGGGACCGUAAGUAUGCCACCGGACAGCGAACGAAUCGAGCAACUCGAUCGGGUUACUGGAAAGCGACCGGGAAGGACCGACGGGUGGCCCGAAGGGGGAUGCUCGUGGGCAUGAGGAAGACGCUGGUGUUCUAUCGAGGCCGAGCUCCCAAGGGUAGGAAAACCGAUUGGGUCAUGCAUGAAUUCCGCAUCGAAGCAUCCUCCGACCCUCCCAACUUCUCCUUCGAGGUAUUAUUGUCACCAUUAUCAUCGAACACCAUCAUGAUCUCAAACAGGCUUUACAGCUCUUGUUCUUCUUAAUUCUCAAUCAUAUAUCAUCAACUUAAUGUAUGCUUCGCAUUCCAUAGGAAACCUUCAUCUUCUUUCUUCUCGUCUCAUCGACCACUUACUUCUUCAUCCGUUGUCUUCCAACAGGAGGAUUGGGUCCUGUGCAGGGUGUCCUCCAAGACCAGAGGAGUGAUCACCAAGCCUGAUGUCAAGAAUUAUGAUGAUGACACAAGUUCUUCCUUCAAGAACACGUACAUCACCUUCGACCAAGCGCCGCGUAGCUUAGAGGGGUUCGAGCAAGUGCCCUGCUUCUCCAACUUCACCGCACAGCUUGCUGCUGCAGCUCCUCCUGUGGGCUCACCAGACCUGAGUUAUUACGAUAACAAGUUCUCCGCAAGGCCUGCCUUCGACCACUUCCCCAAAUUGAAUCCUCCAAACAUAAUUCAGGAAAACUUAGGAAGCUACUUUGGUGAAAAUGCUGUCUCUCACAUUUGGAAUCCUUUUUGAGUUCAUUGAAUUUGUGAGAUUGAUAGUGACAUACCAUUUGGAGCAGGGGGACAUCUUUCUUGUAUAUAUACGCAUUGGUCUAACGAUGUCCCCACACAAGGAAGGAAGGAGGACUGUUGUGUGUGUGCUUGGUGUAAUACUUUUUCUAGGGAGUGAUUCCUUUGUGACAAUACAAUAAUUUAUACAAGUGAUUAAUGUGUCACUGAUGUCCAUGGUGUUCAUUCGAAAGUUUUGCAGAUGUCUGAUAUCUCAACCAUCUGCUAUUUCUUUGCCUUUGUGCAUUAGUAUUUAUUUUCAACCAAUCAAUCAGGAGGGAGUUUCUUUAAUUCGAUCCUAAGUAAAUUGCUCAUCCUAUUUCCUUCAGGGAGGAUGGAUGGAUGUAGCAUAAUAACCAGUAAAAACUACUGCUCGAGACCAUGUCCAAGCUAUAGUGAGUGUGUACUUGUCCUAUAAACAUAGCAAAAUUUUGUGCAAUGACAGCCUGUAGAAGCAACCCUCUCCUUCAACCAAUCACCUAAUUCUCAGGAAUCCUUUAGUUGAAAAGAAUAAGAAAGGUUUUUUUUGGAACCAACAAUCCCACAUUUUAGUAGAGAAUGGAUACUCAAAAAAAGAAAAAAAAGACAUGGUUUAUUCUGGUGUAAGCGUAAAAUUACUUUGGAAAAUUUGUCUGUAGAAUUCAUGUUUUCAUCCAUUAUGAAAGGAAUGCUAUUCUUUUCUUUAAUGCACCAUCAAAUUCAUCCAAGAGCUGCUCGACGCUUCUCCUUGAUGUCGACAUGUUGUUGAUCUCGAAGGCUCUUAGCUCAUGCCUCAGAUCUGCAAAAGCAAUGUUUAGCAUAUUUCUGAAUGAAUACUAAAGAAGAUAUUCCAAAAUAUAUACAGAAUUUUUCUUCGAUCCAACUUGCUGCUCAACAGGAUUUGAGUGGAUGAUGUUAGUAGGAAUGUGACAGACAUACCCACUAAAUUCAUAGAUUUGAGUGGAAAAUCUGUGCCAUUGGUGCUUAGGAACCGAAGAAAGUUCUUCAUAAACUCUGGCGUAUCGGUACAAACCAAGAGCUCCCUCUGCAACAUAAUAAUCAGUUAAUAUUUUCACCAAAAUCUCAAGAAAUCAAGCAUUAAGAGAAACAUGAAACAUGGAUUUUACCUUAAAAUUCUUCUGCCUAUCAUAGUGUCCUGAAACAAUCACAAAUAGUCGAAGCUUUUCUGACUCUGAAAGAUAGCAUCAAAUUGAAAUUUCAAACUAGUUUAGGUAGCAAGUUUGUGCUUCUAAUAGAAUUUCCUUUUUCUCAAGUGAUUUCAGCAUUCCAGAACAAGCAGCGUAGAACUUUUGAUCUCUAAAUCAUUUGUUAGAAUAGAGAACAAAUUGAUAUAUGCCGAGUGACAAACCCAGUGGAGACAAUGAAUGAUCCAAAAUUCUGUUUACCCUGGCAGCUGACAUUCCUAGGAUAAUAUUGGGAACAUAAGUAUCCAACUUUUACUGACAGCAUGCUGACGGAAUUCUAUUACCUUGAAAUUGAAUCACCUCCUUCGCAGCUGAAUCCUCGUGCUUAAGAAGUUCUUCGAUUGAAAUACCAAUUGAACUCAUCCCGGUGUUGGGUAUGUUAUGCUUUCCUGGUUGCGGAAAGUAUCAGUGUGAUGAAGAACUCACAAGAAGAGAGAAAGCAAACAAAAAAAAGGAAUUCAUCAUGGUAAAACACAAGUUAUAUCAAGCUGAUGUUUUAGUCUACUCUAGAUAGUAUUCUUCCUAGAUCAAGCUGAUGUUUAGAAAUUAGGACCGAUGGUGAUCAUACCUGAAUAUGUACUCCAUUUCUUGAAAUCCCUACGGAGGAUAUCUCUAACCUGAAGUUCCGAUAUAUCUGAUAUUUUGUACUUCACUGCAAAUAUUAGAUGUUCUGGAAAUUACUAACAUGACAAGAGAACACAAAAAAUAUACAAAAAGAAAAGACAAGAUUCAUUUAACAGUGAACAUAGAUCACAUUACAUUCUUCAGAAAUUUUACCUGUUGAGAACUAACCCAUAUGGAAACAUAUAGAACAUAGCAGCCAUAGAACUUUAUAUGAUGAUUAAGCCAUUCUACUUUUUCUCUUAAGAAACAUCAAAAGUGUUGCAGUGAUCAAACGGAAAAAGAUACAUUUAUCUAGUUCGAAAAAUAGAAAAGGUUGUUCGAUUGGCCGUUGUUGGCUAGACAUGCUUCUAUAAACCGAAUUUAAUUAUAGUUGGUCAAAAAUUUUAACAACUCACAGAGCUGGUAAAGUCCACUGCAUCCAAACCGACCGGCUCCUUUGAUCAAGAGUGUUGCCAUGUACUUAUCUUUUGCAGUGCAGUCGGCACCAGUCAGAUUUUUUGUGUCUAAAAGGAUUCCUGAUAGCUGAACCAGAAGAAAAUGCAACUGUUAGUGAUGGUAAAAAUAAUUAUCUACUGGGAUUUUCAUAUUAAAAAAUGAUUGAUGGAUGAUGGUUCUAAGAAAUAACUUUUUAUUACAAACUAAAAAGACAACAUUUCCUUUUGGGCAGGCAUUUUGUUUGAGUUUUCAAGAUUCUGAUGCUAUUUCUUCUGUAACAGUGCUAAUUUUUUGAAGUUGCACAGACAUUAUAACUGUAUGAUUAAGAAGAAAAAAAACGUAGAUCUGUCGUGACACCAUGGUUAUUAAGAGAACAACAUAUUGUAGCAGAUGUAAUGUUACCAGCAAUCUGCUAAAUCCCUGCCCUGCUAGGAUUUCCGGUGAUGUCUCUGCGUACUUCUCAGCAAUGAGAGUACAACAUGAACAAUCCUGUUUCAAUGAGAAGGCACAAGAACAUUUUCUACAAGUUAAUAUAGAUGAUGAUACAUCUAUUAAACAUGAGGUAUAAUGAGCUCCCUGUGCAACGAUAUCACUGGGUCAUACAUAAACUAUUCAGUUUCAUGAUACUAAUAAAAUUGAACUAAUCAGAAGUUGACGGAUGAGCAAAACAAAAUUUUUGAGCAGCUGUGUUGUUUAUAUAUGCUCGAAACCGUGCUGUUCUAGUGGUUCAGUUUGGCACGCUUAAUGAUGUAAACAUUUGACUUCAGAGAUCAAAAGCCCAAAAUUUUCUUCAGUGAUUCUUGUUGAAAGAAGUAACAGAGGAACAAACACAUCACUCAUUGGCCAUCCACAUAUACAGAAGUAGGCUUACACUUUAUUUUAUAGAAGAGAAACAGUGUACUUUUCCAUGUUUGUUUAUGGAAGAGAGGAACAGCAUACAUAACCGAAAGCUAAUGCUUUACCUGACUCAUGGUGACAUCUUCAAGAGAAGCACUUUCAGAGCAAACCUAGAAAGAAAUCAAUUAUGAACAAUAACAUGAUGAGCAGCAAGUUAUUCUGACACUGUGGUGCCAUACUUACCUCUUUGCAGUUGAACAUUUCGAUCGGUACAUCUUUCAGCCCCUGCACCAACCAAGGUUUCAUUGAGUUCCCAAUUCCAUAUCAUUUUGAGAUGGUAGCAACUGAAACUAAAGAGUACCUCCUUGUUGGGUGGAAGCUUGUGGUCAUUCACCAGUACUAGCUUCAGAUUUCCAAACCGAUUGUGAUAUGAAAGGUCAAUCUGUUUUCGGAAUUCAGAAUGAUCCAAACAUCUACAACAAAAUCUAGAUAUGUUCGUCUUAAGGAUGCUGAAUUGUACCUCAUCAACAAAAACUAUGGAUGAUUCAUCAACUCGACAUGAAUUAAGCAACCAUUUGAGCUCUGAGUGAGCCAUAAAAUCUGCACGCUUGGUGUUGAUGACCGGCAACACGCAGUGUUGGCUACUUGUUUGAGUCUCAUUCAAGAAAAAAGCACAAGCGAUCGUAGAAACAACCGAUCCAACAUCUGACAUAGUAACAUGUGAUAUGUUAAGAAAAUCACACUAGGAGAUUUUUGCCGAGCAAAUUAAUUUUUUGAAUCAUGUUAUCAUGUAUGCAUGCAUACCGGCAACUGCUUGUCCAAUCACAGCAUGCAAGAAUUGUCCUGGGACACCGGCUUCGACAUCAGCCUUCCUUUGCCUCAGGUAUUGGUUUAAUCUAUCAAUACUUUCACACGCUUCCAAGAUGGAAGAAUCAUUUCUUAGUGAGAUGUUUCCAAAGAAUGCAGCAGCAGACUGAGCCGAAGAAGAAGUAGAAGGUCUACUAUUCCUUUCAGCAUCACUGGAAGCUCUUGUGAGCUCUGUCUCAACAUCAGAGAUUUUAGCUAAUUGAUCCUUCUCAAAAUUAGACUGUUCAUUUGGAUAUAACGAUUGGUGUUCUCCGAGCCCGGACUUCAACACCAGGUUUUCCGGCACUGUUUUGCUGGUGUUGGCUGUACCUGGAGGUCUCUGCUUGUAAUCCACCUCCCUUAGGGAAUGUGAUAAGCUUGUGCUUGUGGUGUCUUGUGAGACGUAUAUCUUCGUUUGAGUUGAAACUCUUACCUGCAUUUCGGUAAUCGGAGAAUGAUCGAUCUUGCUUGGUUUACGAAAAAGAAAUCCUUAUGAUGUAUUAAGUUUGGUUUCCUGAAUCGAUCGAUUUGAUGUGUUUCUACUCUUAACUUAAACUGAAAGAAUUAAUUUGUUCUGUGGAAACAUCAUCUGAUGGUAUGCUCAGGUAUUCAAGCUGAUCAUUAUCUGUAAGCUAUGAAAUUAUACAAACUGAAAAAGAUUUCCCUUGUUUUUGUGCGUGUGUGUGUGUGUGUGUUCUUGUUCUGUACUACAAAUCAGUGAUCAUGCUAAAUCGGUCAAUUUGCAAAGUAGAACUCGUCUAUAUCUAUCUAUCUUUAACUUUGCUAAAACUCAAGCUGCAUAAUUUCAUCGAUCAUGAUGAUUCACGAAGUUGCUCGACGGAAUUGCAUAAGCUACUUUAUCAGCACCAAAGAAAUCCAAAAAUCGAUCAUUCAGAAAAUGUCAUUGGGGCUGAACUGAAUCAUCCUAACCUUGUGCUUUCCGGUGCUAAGCAGCUUCAGGUUCCUCAUCUCGUCGUGGAUCAGACUGAUGAAAACCAUGAAGAUGCACGCGCCGCUGCAUAUACUAGUAACCGGUGGCAGAGGAUGGAGAAAUGGACAAAAGUGUUGUUGUUGUUGUUGCGGUGUCCGCCUGCAGCUUUGGAUUACUCACUACGAGCAUAUCCUCCUUUGUUCUUGUGUGUUUUUCUAGUGGAUUUUGUCAUCUUUCGGGUCUAAGCCUUGGUUUCUUGGAAUUAAUGAUCGUCUCCAAACAAAGCAAGCUAACGCAUCCAAUUGCCUCCGAGUAAGCGAGAUCGAUGCACCCUAAGGAAGAAGUUUCAGAGAGGUGUUGGUAUCACGGAGAGUGAAAGGAUGUCGAGAACAGCAGGAAGCCAAGGGAGGAUGAAAGAAUUCCAUCUCCAAGACAGAAUCUAUUGAUUUAUAUUCUUAACAAAGUUGAUAUCAUCAAUCGGUCCGAUUCAAUAUCGUCAGCCUUUAAAUUUCUUUCAUGUAUUUGGCCAAAACUCUCCCUCCCUCCCUCUCUCUCUCUCUCUCUCUCUCUCUCUCUCUCUCUCACACACACACACACACACACACAUUCAUUAUGGCUUUAUUAUCUAUUUCUUGUUUGCUAAAGCUGCGAACUGAGCUUCACGUAGCACUUAGAUCUUCUGAUGUCUACUAAUAAGAAAAAGCUAUGAAUCGUAUAGCACAAAGAUCCCAUUCCGGCAAGGGUUAGAGCAUCAGAGAGAAAGCAAUCCGCAGGAUUAGACGAGGCUGCUUUCUUGUCUGCCCACGAGGACAUACUACUAAGUUGAGUUCCGGAGAUGUCCACCAAAGCGAAAGCACAAAUCAUACGAUCACUGAUCUACCUUUUGAAUUCUCGCCCACCGAAGAUCUCCUUGGCGACACAUCCACUUCUUAUCCGUCUCACCAACCCUAUGGGCUGGACUCGAUGAUCCAAACGGAAGAACACAGCUUCCGUCCGUAUCUUUCAUAGAAGAUAAUUGGAGAAAAUUUAUAUUGAUCGGGAGGAAGCUUAGUCAACACGAAGCACAACUUUUGGCCGAAAGAAAGACUGGACCCAAAAGCGUGCACACGGAAAACAUUCGAGUUACAAGAACUCGUACUACACGAGUGACAGAGAGAGAGAGAGAAGCGGUUUUAGCCUAAUGGCUAUCGUUAUAUGUCGGCAUCGUCACAUCAACCCCACUGCUGUGGUCUCAAAGGGAAUCUGCCGCUGUCUGACCUUUGUUGCCUUUGGGAAGAACACGUUAGCAACAUCAAUCAUCAUCCAACAUAAGAACAUAUUUCUUCAUUAAAUAUAUCAUAUAUAUAUAUAUAUAUUUAUUUUUGUUUUGGGUGUAAACAGCAAGGUGCAGGUGAGGACACUUUACGAUAUAUUUCAACAAAAAUUCUCGAUCACAGAUCUCUCCUUCCAUGCAGAAGACCCGAUUUGAUUCUUCUACCCAACCCUAAUCGCACUCGUCAAGCUUCUUCCUGCUUCCGGUUUCCUCCCGUCUUGUCCUCGACGAUCUUUGUCCGUCUUCGGCCGAAAGAGAUGCCGCCUGACGAAACCUUUUCGGUGGGACAGGCACUACCUACGGAAUCCAAGACAAAAGCUUAUAGCGUUCUCUUUCAUCUCUACCGUCCACUCUUCCGAGAAAACACAUCUUAAAGAAAUCGAACGGUAGAUAACGACUCUACAAUAGAUUUCACAUACGCUCGUCGGCCCGUCCCCCUCGAAUCUUAGCGAUGACCGCUCAUCGUGGAGGAGCUCCCAAAAGAGAGGGAGUGGGAAUGGUGGUGCGCAAAAAUUUCUCCGUCCAAAUUUUAUGAGGUCAUAGUCAACGCGAGUCAUCGCGUUCUUUUUUCCUCCUCGUCGUCUUGGUGUUAUAAAAGAGGGUGUCCGAAUUAUUGGGAAAAACAACAUGACUCUCUCUGCAUUGCAGACAUAUGUCAGAUGCUAAUCGAUAAGUCCAUGAUGAAUGAUUAUACUGCAUAAAUUAAUUAGGUUGCUAAGUAGAGUUGCUAUAAUUAUGUCUUUGGAGAGCGGUGGUGCGCAGUUUUCGGUCUAUGUAUAGCUUCCAUGGAUGCUGCUGUGUUAUCUAUCCAUCACCGCAUCGUGGUUGACUCCUUUCAAUAGGAGAUUUCUUUAGCCUGUGAGGAGUGUGAUGCCGAGCCAUCAUUUCAACAAGUAAUUAGGAGAGGAACGUUCUCUCGUCUUGAACUUAAACUUUCAGAGAAGUCAAGAUCAGACGUAUGAGAUUAGUGACGACCACCAAAAUCCAAAUUUAGGCGCUGAAUUGCUAGACGUCACAGAUUAGCAUGUUGUUUCUUUUCAGCAUUGUUUAAGCUCUUUUACAGCUCGAGUCACAAACUCGAUCAAUUUUAUUGUUCAUCUCUCUCUCUCUGUCUCUGUGAGUUGAUGCUGAACAUUUGGAAGAUCUUACUGAUCAAUUCCACAGUGUGUUCUGUGGUCGAUUCGGAUGAAACACAAAUCAAAGUUGGCUUUGUUUCUAAAUCCAAAGUUGUUCUCAUGACAGCUAAAUCAUCCGCAACACAAAAGGACAAAGAACAAUAUAAAAAUCUGCUCGAUGAACAAUCUCCGAACUCACUGACUAAUUAGUAUGAUACACGAAGCCAUUAUUCUAUGUGGCAUCCACCACUUGCAUCAUCGAAAAUAUAUAGCAAUGUCUCUGAUGCCCCAUGGACCAAGCCCAUUCAUGACAUCUGACUGAUACCACCGAUAAACUAGCAGCAUCAUUAUUACUCGUAUGAAUCAUACCGCGCACACGAACCGAUUGUUGACUUGAUAUGAGAUCCGGAGAUCACACCGAAACAGUGUACAGCGCACAACCAAAAACAAUCAACUUCAUGCUAUCUAGUGUAUUUUAACCCGCUAACCUCACAACCGAGAGUGUUCGAGGAGGAGCAAUGUUGAGGAUGCUAACGAUCGAUCCAUGAGCUUGUUUGAUCUCCACGAGUAUGAUUUACUGCCAAAGUUAAAUUGCCGUGCAUGUAAAUGCGUAAGAAUUAGAAAGAGUGUCUGUUUCGACAUCGUCAAAGGAAUGUCAUCUUGUUUCUGAUAAUUUGUAGGGUGAUGAUGGCUGCGAGAAUCUAAACUCAUCCAAAUACUUGAGACAAACGUAGUUCAGUGGCUCACAGGCGAAAGAUAAAAGAGAGAGAUAUAUAUGUAUAUAUAUUCCUUACAGCAGAUGAGAAGAAAGGCCCAGCUGCCAUUUCUUUAUAUUUUCCUUACCUUCAGCAAGCUUGACAUAAUAUAUGGUGACCUCCUUUUUCUCUCUCUCUCUCUCUCUCUCUCUCUCUCUCUCCUUUAGCCAGGUGCAGAAAGAACAAGCGAGAUUAAGCGGCAAAACCCUUGCUAGGGUUCGCUAAAGUUUGGAGUGGUGGGGGAGGGUGGUGAGGAUUGCACCCUAUAAGUGGCUGGUCUUGGACCUUGGCCAUUUGUUUACCUUUUAGGAAGGGAAUACUCCACCGAGGUCUACAAGUUUCUAUCACCUCACUUCCUGACCACCCCCAAACCUUUCACCUCUAUCUGCUUCUCUUUCUUUCUGAUCUCCAGAAAUUUGGCGGUGAAGGGUCUUGGAGAAGAACUUUAUGGGCUUCUUUUUCUCUGUGACCGACUGCCUCGGAGAAAAGGAAGAGGAAUUGACUCCAUAUACUAACUCAUCUGUUAGAGUUGUAUCCGUUCGCUGUCUUCCGAGAGAGGAAGGAUGAUGUGAAGGAACGCAGGUGACAAGGGUUGUGCCUGGCUCCCUGUACGCCACACAUGUAGAUCGAUAUCUAUGGGGAGAUUGGCUACUGUGGGUGGCGUGCAAGGAGCCAAGCACGCCUUCUCUCUCUCUCUCUCUCUCUCUCUCUCUCUCUCUCGUGAUCUUUGUGUAGCAGAUCAUCGUAGGAAUUCUCUCUUGCAUGAUCGCUUUUGAUUUCCUUUGCAGCGAUAUCUUGAAGGAAUUAUAUAUGAUCAAAACAACUGCUAGUAUUCAUUGAACUUUGAAAAUGAGGAUUAAGAUUGCUGUCGGAUUGCCUGCUUUGAUUGUUUCUUAUACAUAUUCCUAUGGUUGUAUGGUUUGAAGUAUUACACUAGUUCAAAUGCUUCAUCCAUCGAUUGGCUACUAUAAAUCCCACUAAUAAGCGUAGAUGAUUUCAUGGAACACCAUACUUGAAUCGACCAUGAGGGUAAAGCUUCUGUGAUUCUCAUUCUCCUCCUUCUCAUUAUUAAUUAAUUUAUAGUAAAUGGAACCGAUCGGUUUUGGUUCAGACCUCCAAAGAAUGCUUCCUACAAUUCUUCCCCCUUUUUCCCUUUAUUUUACACCUGUUUUUGUUCUAAAUGAAUUCAACGGGAAAUCUAAUUCUCCUCUCCGAUGGAUAUAUGUGCUCAGAUGUGUCAGUUCUUUGAAUCACUUGAUGUGAUUUAUGAUGGCAUCUCUCUCGUAAUCGAUCAGGAAGGAUUAUUUAAACAUCCUCAACUUCUACAAACCAUAUCGUUUCUUGUCCUCCUCCUCCUCCUCAUCAUCAUCAUAUAACUCAUGUUAGUCUUCUCCAUUUCAAUUCUAUGAGCUUUUAUUCCCAAGAGGACAUCGAUCCGUAUGCUUCACUCAAAAUACUGACGUGGUUGCCUCCUUCCAAGCUUAUGUCUUCACUCGAAGACUAAUUUGCUGCUCUCAGUAUCUUUCAUAUCUUGAAAUGGAUCCGCUGACAAAUUUGAUCUAAGCUAAAGGCAGUACGUAGAAUAUAUGUAUGUGUAUGUAUAUCCAUUUCUGCUAGGUAUUUUAACAUGGAGGCUUUAUUCUCUCUCUCUCACACGCACACACACAAACACAAACACAUUAAUCCCUAUUUCUUUGUUUCGUACGGCAUGUGACAGACCAGCAAUCAGUUCUCUCUCUGUCUCUCAGAGACACACACAAACACAGAUUAGUCCCUAGUUCUUUGUUCUUGCAGCAUGUCACACUGUCUCUCAGAGACACACACAAACACAGAUUAGUCCCUAGUUCUUUGUUCUUGCAGCAUGUCACAGAGACUCGUGAUCGGUUGAUCUCUCUCUCUUUUCUCUAAAGUUUCUGCAUUAUGGCAAAUGUGUACGGUACUGCAAUUCUUCUUAAUGUAUCAUUGUUCCAUUCUCAGUUUGAUUUGACUACAAUCUCUCUCUCUCUCUCUCUCUGGAUCAAUUAAACCGAGCUCGAGCAUUAAUUCCAAUGCCAAACACACCCUCUCCUCCAUCAAUCAAGUCACCGGUCAGGUAUAUACUUCCCACUUCGAGCAGUCCCCUAAAGCUUGAAGAUUCUCCAUGGACCGGGCAGAAGCCCCGAGUGUCGUGGCUCAGUGAGAGGGUGUCAGCUUUCCAUCCUUCCGAGGAACCGAGCACUUUGGUUGUCCUCCGAAAAGGAAUUUUCAACAGCAGUGAAAGCAGCCCAUUGGCACACAUUCUCCGGAACCAAUGCAGGCAGCAGCUUUACCUUCUUCCCUGUCCCCAAUGCAUUUCUUCUUUAUACAUGUACCUCAUGCUGCUGCUGCUUUUGUACUAUCAAAUAGCAAGGCGGUCGUUCCUCAUCUUUUCCGCCCCGCCUUAAUCGUUCUUCUCAUUCAGUUGUUUCCUGUGAAUGCCAAACUGCACCCUUGCUGAUACUAAUAACAUCAAGAUGAUUUACUGCACGAGACUUUUACGGUCACACAGUAUCCGAGGAUGACGAGUAUAUAUUUUUUUGUGUCAACAACAUGAACAAAUCGAUCUUACUGUAACACUAAUGUUUUAUCUCCUCAAGUCUCCUGACUCAUACAUAUAUUGGGGAGUAUAUAUAUAUAUAUACAUGUGAUCUAUAAAGCAGUUUACUGGGAUAAAAAUAUCGGCCACAGCAUAGAGUUACAGCAAGACAUGGUUCAGCUUAAACAUAGGUAUCUAUCUAUCUCUCGAGUAGAAGAAUGUUGUAGUUUCAUGGCUAUGAAUAAGUUGGUACUUUAUAAUAUUAUUCUCUUAUUAUUCUCCUUGUUUUAAGUGACUCUUUUCAUUGUUUACAUAUUCUAGUUAACUGGCUCUGCAAAUUAUGGGUCUGAUUGAGUUGGUUUCUCUCUUGCUUUCGGAGGAGGAUUUGACUCCAAUUUCAAAUUUUUGUGGAGAUGAUGCCAAGGAUUCGACCCAAGUGUGAUUCCUUUUUUUUUUUUUUUUUGAUGUGAGGGAUUAACUUCCUCCACAAGUCCUUGGAAAAGAAGAAGAAGAAGAAGAAGAAGAAAAGGGUGAGUGAAGGGCACUAGUUAAAUAGUGGAGUUGUGGCACCGAGACACCGAGCAAGACAAAGUUAUGCUUUCAAAGGUUUGAAUUUCUUUUUAUUUAUUUAUUUAUUUUUUGUUUGAAAUGGGUGGAAUUAGAUGUUAUCACCACAACAGUGACGACCACCGCAAAUCGAAGAUAUCGGAGGGAUGGAUCAAAACAGGGAGCAGCUUGGACAACAAAAAAGACAAAAUGAGCUUGGUCUUAGGCCUUCUUGAAACAUGGACGGACCUACUUAUGUUGGAAGAAGAAGAAGAAGAAGAAGAGAAACACACACACGCACACACAAAAUUAAAGAAGAAGUUUAAUUUUAACUCAUUCAUAUUAUAUUUAUUAAGCUUUUAUAAUAUAUAUUUUUCUUUCUAUCUAAGGACUUGACUUUCUCGUUAGUUAAUAUCCAUCCAACGUAAUCGAUCAUCAAAUCCUAAUAUGGGGUACGUGAGACUCAAUCUAGUUCACUAGAUUGCUUCUCUUUAAUCCUCCUAUUCUGAGACUCUGACAGACUCUCAAGGAGAUGAGGAACAGUGCUUGCUGCUCAUCUGCCAGAAGCUACGAGGGCUACUUCUCACACUGAAAGAAAGAAAGAAAGAAAGAAGCUUUACUCCUGAUCCCUGUAAACUCUAUGCAGCAAAUUGUUUGACAUCGUAGGAGCUAUCUGCCUAUGCCCUCCUUCACGGUGUUUCCAGCAGCCUUAAGCUUCCGAGACACACUUGAAUCACAUGGACCACACAGUGGAAACCAAUGAUGAACACAAAAGGAGGGGCACAGACCAGUCUCCAAAUAAUAAUAAUAAAAAGACUAUAAAACUCGUGCAGAUACAUGGAGGGCAAUGGGAAGCAGACCGAGCAUGUCUUGUCCCUGUUGACAGCCUCAGUGGAGAGUGAGAGAAAGAAACCUCUGGCCAAGACAGAAUGAGCCAAAGGCUAAAAAGUCAUCAAAGGGGGGGGGGAAGCAGGUAGUCUCGUGGUCUUCGUGCCAUUUAGGCAUGUUGAGGGAUGGGAACCAACCUGCAGAACCUGGCUAGCAGAAAGGACAACAUCAACAGUACCGUUUUGUAAGCUUCUCUGGACUUAUUAUUGAAGCCAUACACCUCGGCACUCUUGCAUUGUACUGUCAUACGAAUCUUAUCGAGUACUUGUCACUUCUCUUUUGCUUUUUCGGAUUUAUUGUUGUUGUUGUUGUUCUACUGUACAAGUCC
rnacentral:lncRNA from 1 species